GCCAGUGUGGUUUAGUGGUUUGAGUGUUGGACCUCGACUCUGCAGAUCAGGGUUCGAAUCAUCACUGAGA